GGCUUAACACAUGCAGUCGACGGUCUCUUCGGAGGCAGUGGCAGACGGGUGAGUAACGCGUGGGAAUCUACCUUUUGCUACGGAACAACAGUUGGAAACGACUGCUAAUACCGUAUGUGCCCGAAAGGGGAAAGAUUUAUCGGCAAAGGAUGAGCCCGCGUUGGAUUAGCUAGUUGGUAGGGUAAAGGCCUACCAAGGCGACGAUCCAUAGCUGGUCUGAGAGGAUGAUCAGCCACACUGGGACUGAGACACGGCCCAGACUCCUACGGGAGGCAGCAGUGGGGAAUAUUGGACAAUGGGCGCAAGCCUGAUCCAGCCAUGCCGCGUGAGUGAUGAAGGCCCUAGGGUUGUAAAGCUCUUUCACCGGUGAAGAUAAUGACGGUAACCGGAGAAGAAGCCCCGGCUAACUUCGUGCCAGCAGCCGCGGUAAUACGAAGGGGGCUAGCGUUGUUCGGAUUUACUGGGCGUAAAGCGCACGUAGGCGGACUUUUAAGUCAGGGGUGAAAUCCCGGGGCUCAACCCCGGAACUGCCUUUGAUACUGGAAGUCUU
rnacentral:rRNA from 1 species